rnacentral:rRNA from 1 species
ACGUAGGUGGCAAGCGUUGUCCGGAUUUAUUGGGUUUAAAGGGUGCGUAGGCGGUUCCAUAAGUCAGUGGUGAAAUACGGCAGCUCAACUGUCGAGGUGCCAUUGAUACUGCGGAACUUGAGUACUGAUGAGGUAGGCGGAAUUGACGGUGUAGCGGUGAAAUGCGUAGAUAUCUGGAGGAACACCGGUGGCGAAGGCGGCGUCCUGGACCAACACUGACACUGAUGAGCGAAAGCCAGGGGAGCAAACGG